GCGGUAAUUCCAGCUCCAAUAGCGUAUAUUAAAAUUGUUGCAGUUAAAAAGCUCGUAGUUGAAUUUUUGUUAAAAAUAACCGGUCUGCUUUUAUUAUUAGUAAAAGUGGUAUCUUGGUGUGUUUUUAGCAAUAAUGUCCUUUUGAGAUGUUUUUUACUUACUUUAUUGUAAUAAAUAAUGUUGAGGAUUUUUACUUUGAGAAAAUUAGAGUGUUUCUAGCAGGCUAACGCUUUGAAUACUGCAGCAUGGAAUAAUAAGAUAGGAUUUUGGUUCUACAUUAUUGGUUUUAAGAACUAAAUUAAUGAUUGAUAGGGACAGUUGGGGGCAUUUGUAUUUAACUGUCAGAGGUGAAAUUCUUAGAUUUGUUAAAGACAAACUACUGCGAAAGA
rnacentral:rRNA from 1 species